AGAUUAAAUUAUUUUUAUUUUAUCCUGGUUUUGUUUAUCUCAUUAUGACUUCCUUUUAAUGCAAGAUCUUCGUUCAACUCUAUUAAACCUGCAGUUUAGAAUAAUUAAACUAAACCACAUUUGUUUCACAGUUUGUGGUGUAAUUCUGUACGUAAAGAUAAGAUAAGAACAACACUACUCCGGCAGUAACAUAUAAAGUUCUUAUUUCUUCGAUAUUUUUAUUCACUAUCGAUGAACACAUGAUUAUUUUGAUUCUUGAACUUAAUUCUUUGGUUAAUUUUAAUAUUCUAUGUCAAGGCAUUUAAACAAAUUAACUUUCUGACCUAAUUACGAUCAUUGUAAUAAGUCAUUAAAAAGUAAUCAUCAUGUUAUGACUGGAAUAAAUAUUGUUCUUUUGAUAACAAAGUAAAUCCACUCAUGUAAAACAUUGUAAGUAGUUAAGUGAAACAAUACAAGAACUUAACUUGCGACAACUUACGUUCAACUUCAACAGUAGAAUUCAAAUCGCAAAAGCACUUUGCUGCCUGUCAAUGACAUUUGUGUUAUGAAGCGACUUGUAAGUGUGAUAGAAAGAGGAAAUGAAUAUUGAUAUGGUCACUACAUUGUCAAUAAAUUUUUUUUUUUUUUUUACAAAUAAUUGCUAACUAGUAUCACA